AUUGAACGCUGGCGGCAUGCCUUACACAUGCAAGUCGAACGGUAACAGAUCUUCGGAUGCUGACGAGUGGCAAACGGGUGAGUAAUACAUCGGAACGUGCCUAGUAGUGGGGGAUAACUACUCGAAAGAGUGGCUAAUACCGCAUGAGAUCUACGGAUGAAAGCAGGGGAUUGCAAGACCUUGUGCUACUAGAGCGGCCGAUGGCAGAUUAGGUAGUUGGUGGGAUAAAAGCUUACCAAGCCGACGAUCUGUAGCUGGUCUGAGAGGACGAUCAGCCAAGCUGAGACGGAGGCACGGCCCAGACUCCUACGGGAGGCAGCAGUGGGGAAUUUGGGACAAUGGGCGCAAGCCUGAUCCAGCAAUGCCGCGUGCAGGAUGAAGGCCUUCGGGUUGUAAACUGCUUUUGUACGGAACGAAAAGCCCUGGGUUAAUACCCUGGGGUCAUGACGGUACCGUAAGAAUAAGCACCGGCUAACUACGUGCCAGCCGCCGCCGUAAGAC
rnacentral:rRNA from 1 species